AACGCGAAAGUCCCGCAAGGGAUAAGUAGAGUGGCAAACGGGUGAGUAACGCGUGGGUGACCUGCCUUCGAGCGGGGGAUAACGUUCCGAAAGGGACGCUAAUACCGCAUAACAUCCUGCCUUUGAAGAGGUGGAGAUCAAAGCCGGGGAUCGCAAGACCUGGCACUUGAAGAGGGGCCCGCGUCUGAUUAGCUAGUUGGUGAGGUAACGGCUCACCAAGGCAUCGAUCAGUAUCCGGCCUGAGAGGGCGGACGGACACACUGGGACUGAGACACGGCCCAGACUCCUACGGGAGGCAGCAGUGGGGAAUUGUUCGCAAUGGGCGCAAGCCUGACGACGCAACGCCGCGUGGAGGAUGAAGAUUUUCGGAUCGUAAACUCCUGUCGAAUGGGACGAAAAGAUUGCGGGUGAACAGCCCGUGGUCCUGACGGUACCGUUAAAGGAAACCCCGGCUAACUCCGUGCCAGCAGCCGCGGUAAUACGGGGGGGGUAAGCGUUGUUCGGAAUUACUGGGCGUAAAGGGCUCGUAGGCGGCCAACUAAGUCAGACGUGAAAUCCCUCAGCUUAACUGGGGAACUGCGUCUGGUACUGGAUGGCUUGGAUUCGGGAGAGGAAUGCGGAAUUCCAGGUGUAGCGGUGAAAUGCGUAGAUAUCUGGAGGAACACCGGUGGCGAAGGCGGCAUUCUGGACCGACAUUGACGCUGAGGAGCGAAAGCCAGGGGAGCAAACGGGAUUAGAUACCCCGGUAGUCCUGGCCCUAAACGAUGAAUGCUUGGUGUGGCGGGUAU
rnacentral:rRNA from 1 species